GCGGACCGCUAUGGCUCGGCACCGGUGGUCGCGUUCGGCGCGACGACGUUUGCCGCGGGCCUGGGCGUUGCGGCGGUCGCGCCGUCGGGUCCGCU
rnacentral:tRNA from 1 species